rnacentral:rRNA from 1 species
UACAGAGGGUGCGAGCGUUGUCCGGAAUCACUGGGCGUAAAGGGCGCGUAGGUGGCGGCCCAAGUCCGUGGUGAAAGCUCGCCGCUUAACGGCGAGUCGGCCACGGAGACUGGGUGGCUCGAGCACUGUAGGGGCAGAUGGAAUUCCGGGUGUAGCGGUGGAAUGCGUAGAGAUCCGGAAGAACACCGGUGGCGAAGGCGGCCUGCUGGGCAGUUGCUGACACUGAGGCGCGACAGCGUGGGGAGCAAACAGG